rnacentral:rRNA from 1 species
AUGAACGCUGGCGGCGUGCCUAAUACAUGCAAGUCGAGCGAACAGAUGAGGAGCUUGCUCCUCUGACGUUAGCGGCGGACGGGUGAGUAACACGUGGAUAACCUACCUAUAAGACUGGGAUAACUUCGGGAAACCGGAGCUAAUACCGGAUAAUAUAUUGAACCGCAUGGUUCAAUAGUGAAAGACGGUUUUGCUGUCACUUAUAGAUGGAUCCGCGCCGCAUUAGCUAGUUGGUAAGGUAACGGCUUACCAAGGCAACGAUGCGUAGCCGACCUGAGAGGGUGAUCGGCCACACUGGAACUGAGACACGGUCCAGACUCCUACGGGAGGCAGCAGUAGGGAAUCCUCCGCAAUGGGCGAAAGCCUGACGGAGCAACGCCGCGUGAGUGAUGAAGGUCUUCGGAUCGUAAAACUCUGUUAUUAGGGAAGAACAAAUGUGUAAGUAACUAUGCACGUCUUGACGGUACCUAAUCAGAAAGCCACGGCUAACUACGUG